ACAUGGAAGUCUCCAAGCCUGUGCCAUCCACCUGCCAAGGAAAAGCACAAGGCAGUAGAGCGAGGGAAGCUGCACUGGCUGAGAGGCUGUGGAACCGGAUGAAAAAGCAGCCCCUGAGUCCUGUGGCGUUGGCUCAUACAGUUUGAACAUUUAUUCGCCUCCUGAGCUUGUACAACAGUCGUGGGAGUUGCUGCAGAAGCAAGCGAAAAGCCAGAUGAGCGCUUCUAAACUUAGAGAGAGGGAGAGCGCCUCAUCUCUUCCAUUUUCCAGGUAUUCCUGAGAUGAUUUAUUGGAGCUCAAAGCUUUGGGCAAAUGCGGGGUGGCUGAUCACCUGGCAGACAUCUUAGGAAACAGGAGCACCGGUCUGGGAAACUGCUGGCCUGGCCUAACACCUGGCGCUGUGGUGCAGGAGGGCAGCCACUGAGGAUUCUUGAGGAGAGAGAGACCAUAGAAUGAAUGAAAGAGUUGGAAAGACUUUAAAGCUCUGGGAGGCUGAAUCCUUUAUUUCGCUGGAAGAAAAACUGAAUGCCAAGAGGGCCUCACUUUCCCCAAAGCUAUACAGCCAUCAGGGGCAAUGCUGGGAUUCCCCCAUGGAUCUCUUGACUCCUAAUACAGUGCUCUUUCUGAUAUGCCAUCUGGCUCCAUAAUGAACAUUGUGUUCCAGGAAAAUCAGUCUGCGCUGAACAGGAUGGAAUUGGGGCAGGACGUCCAGUGAGGAGGACAUUGAGGCAGUAGAGCAGUUGAUUGCCGAAUGACCACCUACCCUGACUUAAAAGAUCAACCUCAGGGAGGAUUGGAGCUUUCUAGAGUCUCUUGGGACAGCAGAAGCACAGGCCGGGUUGGACUGAAUCUUUAAGUGGACAUGAGGGACAAAGUACCUCCUGUUGGUAAACAUCUCACCACCAACCCACUGUGGUGGCUAAAAUCCCACCUUUAGUCCCAGCAACAUAUGAGCAUGUCACCAGGAGGUCUUCACAGGCCUGUCUGCCACCUGAGUGUAGACAUCUUUUGGCCCUGGAGCCCAGAGAGGCUGAAUGUGGAGAGGGUGGAGAGAGGUCUGUAGUCCUCAGAGAAGACUUGCAGCUUUUUCAGAGCCACCAACCCAUAAAAAAAAAAAUCCCCAAACAGAAAAAUCCUAACUGUGGUGACCAGGUACCUCCUGAGACAUGAAGCCUCCACUUACCUGGACCCUGGAGGCCUCUCCGGGCACAGCUGCCAAUGUUGAUCUUAGAUAAGACCACCAGCAAGUAAACAUCCACUGUGCAAAGCUGUGUUAUCUUUGGGGAACUGAAAUGUCCCCUGGGAGUUGGAAACUCCCCUAGCCACAUACCACAGAGUUGAGGAAGGAAGAGCUGAUGGACGGAAGAACCAUGGCGGGAGGAGUCAUCCGGAAGCUACCUCGCUGCCCUGUCAGUUACGGAACAGAGGAGAGAUGCCGGCUGGAGGACACAGCAAAUUUGAACCAAGAGGAGCUUGGAGGAAGCCCGAGCGACCUGGAGGGGACUGGCUGACCUUCCUCAUUCUUUUCAAGUGUGAAUAAUAACCAAGCCCAGUUUGGCAACUCCUUGAGGGUGAGGACGAAGCCCCAUUCUCCUUUUUGGAACUUGGUGGGGCUCAGGAAGCAGGUUCUCUCCAGUCGGUGGCUUUCCUUUCUGUUGCGGGUCUCUUGAGGGCCUGCCUUCAUGAAGGCACAUGAGUGACUCAUCAUUUGUGAAUUAAUUGCUAUAUGUGAAGGGCAUCUGAGAACAAAUUAUCUUCAUAGACUUUUCAUUAUAAUUUUAUUUGUACUGAAAAAAAAAAAAAAAAAA
rnacentral:lncRNA from 1 species